UACCAGCACCCCGAGUGGUCGGGACGUUUAUUGGGCCUAAAGCAUCCGUAGCCGGUUCUACAAGUCUUCCGUUAAAUCCAGCUGCUUAACAGAUGGGCUGCGGAAGAUACUAUGGAGCUAGGAGGCGGGAGAGGCAAGCGGUACUCGAUGGGUAGGGGUAAAAUCCGUUGAUCCAUUGAAGACCACCAGUGGCGAAGGCGGCUUGCCAGAACGCGCUCGACGGUGAGGGAUGAAAGCUGGGGAGCAACCGG
rnacentral:rRNA from 1 species